GAUGAACGCUAGCGAUAGGCCUAACACAUGCAAGUCGAGGGGCAUCACAUGAAGUAGCAAUACGGAUGGUGGCGACCGGCGCACGGGUGAGUAACACGUAUGCAACCUGCCUUCAACAAGGGGAUAACCCGUUGAAAGACGGACUAAUACCCUAUAACACAGGGGUCCCGCAUGGGGAUAUUUGUUAAAGGACAACCGGUUGAAGAUGGGCAUGCGUUCCAUUAGCUAGUUGGCGGGGUAAGGGCCCACCAAGGCAACGAUGGAUAGGGGAACUGAGAGGUUUAUCCCCCACACUGGUACUGAGACACGGACCAGACUCCUACGGGAGGCAGCAGUGAGGAAUAUUGGUCAAUGGACGCAAGUCUGAACCAGCCACGUCGCGUGAAGGAAGACGGCCCUACGGGUUGUAAACUUCUUUUGCAAGGGAAUAAAGUGGGCCACGUGUGGCCUUUUGCAAGUACCUUGCGAAUAAGGAUCGGCUAACUCCGUGCCAGCAGCCGCGGUAAAUCACACUAC
rnacentral:rRNA from 1 species